AGGGAAGAAAAAAACCUGACAUGAAUCCUGUUACGCUCUGCAUUACUGUACAUAAUAUACAAACUGGUCCUUCGUUUUUAUUUCUGCUCACCGGUGCCGAUACUGACGGAGAUUAAAAGAUAGAGAUAAAUAAUUAAGCAGGUAUCUAUCUCUAAAGGACAAGAGGUGAAUAUGGCAUGUUAAGUCCAACAAAACAAGCAAAAUCAAAGCCUUGAUGAUACAAAUGUUACAAGGACAUGUUCAGAUUCUACAAGACAUCAAUUCAUACAGUAACCAGCUUAAAGAACAAAAUGUGAUUAAAGCAGCACAUUGUGCUCGUAACUGAAGAAAAGAAACAUAAGAAGAAGAAUU